CCUACGGCAGGUAGCCGUGGGGAAUAUUGCGCAAUGGGGGAAACCCUGACGCAGCACCGCCGCGUGGGUGAAGAAGGCCUUCGGGUUGUAAAGCUCUGUCUUCUGGGACGAUAAUGACGGUACCAGAGGAGGAAGCCACGGUUAACUACGUGCCAGUAGCCGCGGUAAU
rnacentral:rRNA from 1 species